AAACAAAUUGAUUCAAAAGUUAGCUUUUAUGAUCUCAAAGACUAAGAGACGAUGUACUUGGACCCAAUUUUAAAUCAACGAAAUUAAGGAGGAUGGUAAAUAUUGCUUUUAUGAUACGAGAAGAAGGUAGCCUGAUGUUCACGAUCCAAUUAAUCUAAAAUGAUAGAUUUUAUGAUCUAAAUAGUGGCGUGACGAUGAACCAAGGUCGUGGCAUGCUUGUAACAUGAAAAUGUACUAUAGUUAAAAGCGAACUUCACUCCCUAAUGUACUCUUUUUUCCGACUUCACGGUUUUUUCCCAAAAAAGGGUUUUCCUGAAGGGGGUUUUAACGAGGCAUCAAAGUGGAGCCUGGGCUGAAGAACUCCCUCAAGUACUAUGGGUAUAUCGGACUACACCUCACUCUGCCACAGGAGAAACAUCCUUCCGACUUGCUUAUGGCAUAGAAGCCAUGAUACCAAUUGAAAUUAAUGAGCACAGUCCAAGGGUGAGCUUCUACGAUGAGGUUGGCAACGUACAGGGGUAUAAAGAAGAGCUCGAGUUACUCCCUGAAGUCCGAGAACAAGCCCAGAUAAGAGAAGCAGUGUUGAAGCAAAGGAUGAAAAACAAAAACAAAAAGAAAGUCAUCCGAAGAAGCUUUGUUCCAGACGACCUGGGCUAAAUCAAAAAUGACAUCGGAGUCAACAAAUGGGGGGAACGAAAGCUCGCUGCUAAUUGAAAAGGGCAAUAUAAGAUAAGUGAUGUCUUAGGAAAGGCAUACUACAAAGUAACCGACUUGAACGGUACCGAGCUACCAAGGUCGUGGCAUGCUUGUAACAUGAAAAGGUACUAUAGUUAAAAGCGAACUUCACUCCCUGAUGUACUCUUUUUCCCGACUUCACGGUUUUUUCCCAAAAAAGGGUUUUCUUGAAGGGGGUUUUAACGAGGCAUCAAAGUGGAGCCUGUGCUGAAGAGCUCCCUCAAGUACUAUGGGUAUAUCGGACUACACCUCACUCUGCCACAGGAGAAACAUCCUUCCGACUUGCUUAUGGCAUAGAAGCCAUGAUACCAAUUGAAAUCAAUGAGCAAAGUCCAAGGGUGAGCUUCUACGAUGAGGUUGGCAACGUACAGGGGUAUAAAGAAGAGCUCGAGUUACUCCCUGAAGUCCGAGAACAAGCCCAGAUAAGAGAAGCAGCGUUGAAGCAAAGGAUGACAAACAGAUACAAAAAGAAAGUCAUUCGAAGAAGCUUUGUCCUAGACGACCUGGUCUUAAUGAGAAAUGACAUCGGAGUCAACAAAUGGGGGGAAAGAAAGCUCGCUGCUAAUUGAAAAGGGCAAUAUAAGAUAAGUGAUGUCUUAGGAAAGGCAUACUACAAAGUAACCGACUUGAACGGUACCGAGCUACCAAGGUCGUGGCAUGCUUGUAACAUGAAAAGGUACUAUAGUUAAAAGCGAACUUCACUCCCUAAUGUACUCUUUUUUCCGACUUCACGGUUUUUUCCCAAAAAAGGGUUUUCCUGAAGGGGGUUUUAACGAGGCAUCAAAGUGGAGCCUGGGCUGAAGAACUCCCUCAAGUACUAUGGGUAUAUCGGACUACACCUCACUCUGCCACAGGAGAAACAUCCUUCCGACUUGCUUAUGGCAUAGAAGCCAUGAUACCAAUUGAAAUCAAUGAGCAAAGUCCAAGGGUGAGCUUCUACGAUGAGGUUGGCAACGUACAUGGGUAUAAAGAAGAGCUCGAGUUACUCCCUGAAGUCCGAGAACAAGCCCAGAUAAGAGAAGCAGCGUUGAAGCAAAGGAUGACAAACAGAAACAAAA